GAAAUGCGAUAAGUAAUGUGAAUUGCAGAAUUCAGUGAAUCAUCGAAUCUUUGAACGCACCUUGCGCUCCUUGGUAUUCCUUGGAGCAUGCCUGUUUGAGUAUCAUGAAAUCUUCAAAGUAAAUCUUUUGUUAACUCAAUUGGUUUCUACUUUGGUAUUGGAGGUCUUUGCAGCUUCACACCUGCUCCUCUUUGUUCAUUAGCUGGAUCUCAGUGUUAUGCUUGGUUCCACUCGGCGUGAUAAGUUAUCUAUCGCUGAGGACACUGUAAAAGGUGGCCAAGGUAAAUGCAGAUGAUCCGCUUCUAAUAGUCCAUUGACUUGGACAAUACUUUUAUGAUCUGAUCUCCAAUCAGGUAGGACCACCCGCUGAACUUAAGC
rnacentral:misc_RNA from 1 species